UAGGGAAUCUUCGGCAAUGGACGAAAGUCUGACCGAGCAACGCCGCGUGAGUGAAGAAGGUUUUCGGAUCGUAAAACUCUGUUGUUAGAGAAGAACAAGGACGUUAGUAACUGAACGUCCCCUGACGGUAUCUAACCAGAAAGCCACGGCUAACUACGUGCCAGCAGCCGCGGUAAUACGUAGGUGGCAAGCGUUGUCCGGAUUUAUUGGGCGUAAAGCGAGCGCAGGCGGUUUCUUAAGUCUGAUGUGAAAGCCCCCGGCUCAACCGGGGAGGGUCAUUGGAAACUGGGAGACUUGAGUGCAGAAGAGGAGGAUGGAAUUCCAUGUGUAGCGGUGAAAUGCGUAGAUAUAUGGAGGAACACCAGUGGCGAAGGCGGCUCUCUGGUCUGUAACUGACGCUGAGGCUCGAAAGCGUGGGGAGCAAACAGG
rnacentral:rRNA from 1 species